GACGAACGCUGGCGGCGUGCUUAACACAUGCAAGUCGAACGGAAAGGCCCUGCUUUUGUGGGGUGCUCGAGUGGCGAACGGGUGAGUAACACGUGAGUAACCUGCCCUUGACUUUGGGAUAACUUCAGGAAACUGGGGCUAAUACCGGAUAGGAGCUCCUGCUGCAUGGUGGGGGUUGGAAAGUUUCGGCGGUUGGGGAUGGACUCGCGGCUUAUCAGCUUGUUGGUGGGGUAGUGGCUUACCAAGGCUUUGACGGGUAGCCGGCCUGAGAGGGUGACCGGCCACAUUGGGACUGAGAUACGGCACAGACUCCUACGGGAGGCAGCAGUGGGGAAUAUUGCACAAUGGGCGGAAGCCUGAUGCAGCAACGCCGCGUGCGGGAUGACGGCCUGCGGGUUGUAAACCGCUUUCGCCUGUGACGAAGCGUGAGUGACGGUAAUGGGUAAAGAAGCACCGGCUAACUACGUG
rnacentral:rRNA from 1 species